AGUGGUUAUGGUUUAAAUAUUUAUGUGAAUUAUAAAACAUUAGUUUAUUCGUAGCUGCGUGCGGUGAAUUUACAUGGGUACUGUAAAGGACUUAAAAAAUAUAAAGGAAUAUUAAUCUAACAACUUAAAGGUUUGUACUUUUUCCUUUUGCAUAAUGAUUUAAUUAGUGUGCCGCUAGGCAAAAGAUAUUACGUCUGGAUACCCGAAAUCAGGUGAGCUACUGUAGGCUAAGCAAGGGUGGCUUAAACCAGUUUAUGUUGCAAUAUAAUUGGGAGAGCUUAAAGUAGGGGUGAUAUGCUAACCGUACCUGAUUAUAGCUGGUUGUUUAAGAAAUGAAUGUAAGUUCAGCCUAAUAUUUAUAUGUGGUGAAACUAAUCGGAAUAUGCUGAUUAGUUUAUAUGUGAACAAACAUAAACUAAACGUAAGUUUUGUGCCCACCAUUGUAGGCUUAAAGGCAGCCACCUUUUAGAAAAAGCGUUAAAGCUUUCAGUAUUUAGCUAAAUAAUCUAUUAUUUAGUUUAGUAUUAAACAAUUUUAAUAAUAAAAUAUUUUCUGUUAAAAUGCGUAGAUAGUAUAAUAACUUUCUUGUGAGUGUAAAUAAGUUAUUCUCAGAGAAGCGAACAAGAGAAGGAAUAAAAGUUAUUCUGACAUAAGAAUAAGAUAAAAGUUAUUAGAUAAGAAAUAGGAACUCGGCAAAUGCUAAGCUCGCCUGUUUACCAAAAACAUCGCCUUUAGGUUAAUAUUAAAGGUCUGCUCUGCCCAGUGUCGUGAGAUUAACGGCCGCGGUAUUUUGACUGUGCAAAGGUAGCAUAAUCACUUGCCCUUUAAAUGGGGGAAUGUAUGAAUGAUUAGACGAGGUUUUUACUGUCUUUUUUUUAAGAACUUGAGAUUACAUUAUAUGUGAAAAUGCAUAUAGUCGUUAAAGGACGAGAAGACCCUGCUGAGCUUUAUAAGUAGUUUAGUACGUAGGUUAAAAUAGGGUAAUAAGUUAUUUACGAAAUUAACGUUCUAAUUAGUAUUUAUUUUGCUGGGGUGGCAAGCAAAGAUAUUAAGCUUUGCUUAAUUACAUUGUAGAUUUUAAGACGGUGUGCGUCGAGAAACGUGGGUUAGAUCCGCUUAGGCGAUUGUUAGAACAAGUUACCACAGGGAUAACAGCGUUAUUCUCUUUGAGAGCUCUAAUUGACGAGAGAGUUUGCGACCUCGAUGUUGGAUCAAGAUUCCUAGUGGUGCAGCAGUUACUUAGGGUUUGCCUGUUCGGCGAUUAAAAUCUUACGUGAUCUGAGUUCAGACCGUUGUAAGACAGGUUAGAUUCUAUCCUUAUAUUCAUGCAUUUAGUACGAAAGGACCAAUGUCAUGUGAUUUAAGGUUUAUACUAAAUCAUA
rnacentral:rRNA from 1 species